CAACAGGACUCCAGAAAUGAAGAAAGGAAGAAACCACGAGGAAGUGCCCUGGGAACGGAGGAGCAGUGUAGAGGAGAACAUCGUGGGUGUCUUUGACCUCAUCUAAGAGCAGACCAUGGAGCAUCUCACAGCCAUGCCUUCCUCAUGAUUAUGAUGAAAGUAUUCCUUGUAUUACUUCAAGCACAGAGACAGGCAUGCCAAUGCUGAGCUUCUCUCUUUGUAUUCACUUCAGGAUUCCAGCCUAUGGGAGGUACCAUACACAUUAGGGAUUAAAUCCCAGUUACCAGGAAUGACCAUUAUAUCUGGAGCGGGGUGAUGUUGAUAUACAAGCAGAAGGCUUGGAGAUGGCUUGUCAGUGUUACAUCUGAAGACGUGACCUCCCAUCAUCCCAUUCCAGCUGCUUUGCCUGCCACUUGCUGCUGUCCUUUCCUGCUAUGAUGGACUGAUAUCUCUGAAACUGUAAGCCAAAAGAAGCUCCUUCUUAUAUAAGUCAUCUUGGUAACGAUGUCUUGUCUUAGCAGCUGAAAAGUAAGUAAUACAGAAGUUGGUACCAGGAGUGGGGUAUCGCUGUGAAGAUCCUGACCACAUUGUUCUUUUGGAGGGAUGUUGAAAACUUUGUAACUUUGAACUAGAAGUUGAAAGCUGUAAACAGCAGUUUAUGGGCUGUUGUAUUGUGUAUUUGUUCCGUCCAGGACCUUGAGUUAGCUGGCCCAAUAGAGGCAAUGCUUCUUGCCUGCCUAUGUGACCUCUUAAAAGGGAAGGGGGAAGGGGUCAUGAGCUCUCUCUUGGAUGUGGAAGGUUUCCUGGUGCCUGGUUAGGCCACCUGGUCUGGAGCUUUCCCCAUCUUUCCCUGAGAGAUU